UAUGUGAUCGUCUCUCGCAUAUCAAUAAGCGGAGGAAAAGAAACUAACAAGGAUUCCCCUAGUGACGGCGAGUGAAGCGGGAAGAGCUCAAAUUUGAAAUCUUAAAGGGUUUCCCUUUACGAAUUGUAGUUUAAAGAAGUGUUUUCUGUUGGGGUUUUGGUAAAAGUUCUUUGGAAUAGGACAUCAUAGAGGGUGAGAAUCCCGUAUUUGACCUUUACUUUCAACUUUGUGAUACACUUUCAAAGAGUCGGAUUGUUUGGGAAUGCAGUCCAAAAUGGGUGGUAAAUUCCAUCUAAAGCUAAAUAUUGGCGAGAGACCGAUAGCGAACAAGUACCGUGAGGGAAAGAUGAAAAGAACUUUGAAAAGAGAGUUAAACAGUACGUGAAAUUGUCAAAAGGGAAGCGUUUGACACCAGUGUUGUUUUUCUGAAAAUCAAUUAAAGAACUGUUUAUGCUAAGCUGUUUAGACUUUAUCAGCUAUCUGUUUAGUUUUGAGCUUUUCUUUAAUGCACUUUUCAGUUAACAAGUCAACAUCAAUUUCUUUUACUGUAAAAAAGCUUGAGGAAGGUGGCUUGAGAUUCGUCUUAAGUGUUUAUAGCCUCUUGCCUAUGCAGUCGGAGAGAUUGAGGUCUGCAGCGUAGAUCCUUCGGGGCUAAAUGCAUUUGUGCUAAGUUAUAGCAUUUUAUAGACAACUUGUUGACUAUGAUUUGUCUUGUAGCUUACUCGCUUAUGUUAUUUUACCUACGCUUAGGAUGUUGAUCUACAGAGCGAGAGU
rnacentral:rRNA from 1 species